CCUACGGGAGGCAGCAGUGAGGAAUAUUGGUCAAUGGGCGCGAGCCUGAACCAGCCAAGUCGCGUGAGGGAAGACGGUCCUAUGGAUUGUAAACCUCUUUUGUCGGGGAGCAAAAGACGCCACGCGUGGCGUUCCGAGAGUACCCGAAGAAAAAGCAUCGGCUACCUCCGUGCCAGCAGCCGCGGUAAUACGGAGGAUGCGAGCGUUAUCCGGAUUUAUUGGGUUUAAAGGGUGCGCAGGCGGAAGAUCAAGUCAGCGGUAAAAUUGAGAGGCUCAACCUCUUAGAGCCGUUGAAACUGGUUUGCUUGAGUGAGCGAGAAGUAUGCGGAAUGCGUGGUGUAGCGGUGAAAUGCAUAGAUAUCACGCAGAACUCCGAUUGCGAAGGCAGCAUACCGGCGCUCAACUGACGCUCAUGCACGAAAGUGUGGGUAUCGAACAGGAUUAGAUACCCUAGUAGUC
rnacentral:rRNA from 1 species